GCUGGGACAGCUCAGUCAGCAGAGCAUGAGACUUUCCAUCUCAAAGUCAUGGGUUCGAGCCCUACAGCGGGCA